rnacentral:rRNA from 2 species
CAGGACGAACGCUGGCGGCGUGCCUAAUACAUGCAAGUCGAACGAACUCUGGUAUUGAUUGGUGCUUGCAUCAUGAUUUACAUUUGAGUGAGUGGCGAACUGGUGAGUAACACGUGGGAAACCUGCCCAGAAGCGGGGGAUAACACCUGGAAACAGAUGCUAAUACCGCAUAACAACUUGGACCGCAUGGUCCGAGNUUGAAAGAUGGCUUCGGCUAUCACUUUUGGAUGGUCCCGCGGCGUAUUAGCUAGAUGGUGNGGUAACGGCUCACCAUGGCAAUGAUACGUAGCCGACCUGAGAGGGUAAUCGGCCACAUUGGGACUGAGACACGGCCCAAACUCCUACGGGAGGCAGCAGUAGGGAAUCUUCCACAAUGGACGAAAGUCUGAUGGAGCAACGCCGCGUGAGUGAAGAAGGGUUUCGGCUCGUAAAACUCUGUUGUUAAAGAAGAACAUAUCUGAGAGUAACUGUUCAGGUAUUGACGGUAUUUAACCAGAAAGCCACGNCUAACUACG